AGUGAACGCUGGCGGUAGGCCUAACACAUGCAAGUCGAACGGCAGCACAGUAAGAGCUUGCUCUUACGGGUGGCGAGUGGCGGACGGGUGAGGAAUACAUCGGAAUCUACUUUUUCGUGGGGGAUAACGUAGGGAAACUUACGCUAUUACCGCAUACGACCUACGGGUGAAAGCAGGGGAUCUUCGGACCUUGCGCGAUUGAAUGAGCCGAUGUCGGAUUAGCUAGUUGUCGGGGUAAAGGCCCACCAAGGCGACGAUCCGUAGCUGGUCUGAGAGGAUGAUCAGCCACACUGGAACUGAGACACGGUCCAGACUCAUACGGGAGGCAGCAGUGGGGAAUAUUGGACAAUGGGAGCAAGCCUGAUCCAGCCAUACCGCGUGGGUGAAGAAGGCCUUCGGGUUGUAAAGCCCUUUUGUUGGGAAAGAAAAGCAGCAGGUUAAUACCCCGCUGUUCUGACGGUACCCAAAGAAUAAGCACCGGCUAACUUCGUG
rnacentral:rRNA from 1 species